rnacentral:rRNA from 1 species
CAUGAAGCUGGAAUUGCUAGUAAUCGCGGAUCAGCAAGCCGCGGUGAAUACGUUCCCGGGCCUUGUACACACCGCCCGUCACACCAUGGGAGUCGGAAAUGCCCGAAGUCGGUGACCCAACCGUUUACGGAGGGAGCUGCCGAAGGCAGGUCUGGUGACUGGGGUGAAGUCGUAACAAGGUAUC